AGGAUGAAUGCUGGCGGCGCGCCUAACACAUGCAAGUCGAGCGGAAAGGCCCUUCGGGGUACUCGAGCGGCGGACGGCUGAGUAACGCGUGGGAACAUGCCCCAAAGUGAGGAAUAACUGCCCGAAAGGGUAGCUAAUGCCGCAUAUGAUCUUAGGAUUAAAGGAUUUAUCCGCUUUGGGAGUGGCCCGCGUACGAUUAGGUAGUUGGUGAGGUAAAGGCUCACCAAGCCCACGAUCGUUAACUGGUCUGAGAGGAUGAUCAGUCAGACUGGAACUGAGACACGGUCCAGACUCCUACGGGAGGCAGCAGUGAGGAAUCUUCCACAAUGGGCGAAAGCCUGAUGGAGCGACGCCGCGUGCAGGAUGAAGGCCUUCGGGUUGUAAACUGCUUUUAUAAGUGAAGAAUAUGACGGUAACUUAUGAAUAAGCACCGGCUAACUACGUGCCAGCAGCCGC
rnacentral:rRNA from 1 species